rnacentral:rRNA from 1 species
GACGAACGCUGGCGGCGUGCCUAAUACAUGCAAGUCGAGCGCAGGAAGUCAUCCGAACCCUUCGGGGGGACGUUGACGGAAUGAGCGGCGGACGGGUGAGUAACACGUAAAGAACCUGCCCUCAGGUCUGGGAUAACCACGAGAAAUCGGGGCUAAUACCGGAUGGGUCAUCGGACCGCAUGGUCCGAGGAUGAAAGGCGCUCCGGCGUCGCCUGGGGAUGGCUUUGCGGUGCAUUAGCUAGUUGGUGGGGUAAUGGCCCACCAAGGCGACGAUGCAUAGCCGACCUGAGAGGGUGAUCGGCCACACUGGGACUGAGACACGGCCCAGACUCCUACGGGAGGCAGCAGUAGGGAAUCUUCCACAAUGGACGAAAGUCUGAUGGAGCAACGCCGCGUGAACGAUGAAGGCCCUCGGGUCGUAAAGUUCUGUUGUAAGGGAAGAACAAGUGCCGCAGGCAAUGGCGGCACCUUGACGGUUCCUUGCGAGAAAGCCACGGCUAACUACGUG